GAUGAACGCUGGCGGCGUGCCUAAUACAUGCAAGUCGAGCGAACAGACGAGGAGCUUGCUCCUCUGACGUUAUCGGCGGACGGGAGAGUAACACGUGGAUAACCUACCUAUACGACUGGGAUAAUUUCGGGAGACCGGAGCUAAUACCGGAUAAUAUAUUGCACUGCAUGGUUCAAUAGUUGAAGACGCUUUUGCUGUCACUUAUAGAUGGCUACGCGCCGCAUUAGCUAGUUGGUAAGGUAACGGCUUACCAAGGCAACGAUGCGUAGCCGACCCGAGAGGGUGAUCCGCCACACUGGCAGUGAGGAUCGGUCCCGACUCCGACGGGAGGCAGCAGUAGGGAAUCUUCCGCAAUGGGCGAGAGCCUGACGGAGCAACGCCGCGUGAGUGAUGAAGGUGUUCGGAUCGUAGAACUCUGUUAUUAGGGAAGAACAAAUGUGUAAGUAACUAUGCAGGUCUUGACGGUACCGAAUCAGAAAGCCACGGCUAACUACGUG
rnacentral:rRNA from 1 species